rnacentral:tRNA from 1 species
GGGCCCAUAGCUCAGUCGGCAGAGCAGCGGACUCAUAAUCCGCGUGUCGCAGGUUCGAGUCCUGCUGGGCCCA